AAACGACUCUCGGCAACGGAUAUCUCGGCUCACGCAUCGAUGAAGAACGUAGCAAAAUGCGAUACUUGGUGUGAAUUGCAGAAUCCCGUGAACCAUCGAGUUUUUGAACGCAAGUUGCGCCCGAAGCCAUUUGGUUGAGGGCACGUCUGCUUGGGCGUCACGCA
rnacentral:rRNA from 1 species